GACCCGGUAGCUCAGCUGGUAGAGCAUCUGCCUUUUAAGCAGGUGGCCAUGAGUUCAAAUCUCAUCCGGGUCA
rnacentral:tRNA from 3 species